UAUUUCAGGUCGCUGCGUUCGAUGAAGUCGAGCGCCUGCGCGCCCUCGGCCGCUGCGCGCAGUUCCUCAUCAGUCGCGUCGGGCUUGCCGACCCGCAGAUUCUCGGCGGGUUGAACAGCAGCGCUUCCUGGAACACCACGCCGAUAUUCCGGCGCAGCGCCGCGAGCGUCAUGCCGCGAAUGUCCAUGCCGUCGACCUUGAUGACGCCCGAC
rnacentral:misc_RNA from 1 species